rnacentral:piRNA from 1 species
UGCAGGAGAUUGAGACAGGGGCUGGU